CAUAGCGUAAUGAAGCGAACCGGGGGAACUGAAACAUCUAAGUACCCCGAGGAAAAGAAAUCAACCGAGAUUCCCCCAGUAGCGGCGAGCGAACGGGGAGCAGCCCAGAGUCUGAAUCAGCUUGUGUGUUAGUGGAACGGUCUGGAAAGUCCGACGGUACAGGGUGAUAGUCCCGUACACCAAAAUGCACAGGUUGUGAACUCGAAGAGUAGGGCGGGACACGUGGUAUCCUGUCUGAAUAUGGGGGGACCAUCCUCCAAGGCUAAAUACUCCUGACUGACCGAUAGUGAACCAGUACCGUGAGGGAAAGGCGAAAAGAACCCCGGCGAGGGGAGUGAAAAAGAACCUGAAACCGUGUACGUACAAGCAGUGGGAGCCUCUUUAUGGGGUGACUGCGUACCUUUUGUAUAAUGGGUCAGCGACUUAUAUUCUGUAGCAAGGUUAACCGUAUAGGGGAGCCGAAGGGAAACCGAGUCUUAACUGGGCGUUAAGUUGCAGGGUAUAGACCCGAAACCCGGUGAUCUAGCCAUGGGCAGGUUGAAGGUUGGGUAACACUAACUGGAGGACCGAACCGACUAAUGUUGAAAAAUUAGCGGAUGACUUGUGGCUGGGGGUGAAAGGCCAAUCAAACCGGGAGAUAGCUGGUUCUCCCCGAAAGCUAUUUAGGUAGCGCCUCGUGAAUUCAUCUUCGGGGGUAGAGCACUGUUUCGGCUAGGGGGUCAUCCCGACUUACCAACCCGAUGCAAACUGCGAAUACCGAAGAAUGUUAUCACGGGAGACACACGGCGGGUGCUAACGUCCGUCGUGAAGAGGGAAACAACCCAGACCGCCAGCUAAGGUCCCAAAGUCAUGGUUAAGUGGGAAACGAUGUGGGAAGGCACAGACAGCCAGGAUGUUGGCUUAGAAGCAGCCAUCAUUUAAAGAAAGCGUAAUAGCUCACUGGUCGAGUCGGCCUGCGCGGAAGAUGUAACGGGGCUAAACCAUGCACCGAAGCUGCGGCAGCGACACUAUGUGUUGUUGGGUAGGGGAGCGU
rnacentral:rRNA from 1 species